rnacentral:rRNA from 1 species
CGCUUAGGCGUGUGACUGCGUACCUUUUGUAUAAUGGGUCAGCGACUUAUAUUCUGUAGCAAGGUUAACCGAAUAGGGGAGCCGAAGGGAAACCGAGUCUUAACUGGGCGUUAAGUUGCAGGGUAUAGACCCGAAACCCGGUGAUCUAGCCAUGGGCAGGUUGAAGGUUGGGUAACACUAACUGGAGGACCGAACCGACUAAUGUUGAAAAAUUAGCGGAUGACUUGUGGCUGGGGGUGAAAGGCCAAUCAAACCGGGAGAUAGCUGGUUCUCCCCGAAAGCUAUUUAGGUAGCGCCUCGUGAAUUCAUCUCCGGGGGUAGAGCACUGUUUCGGCAAGGGGGUCAUCCCGACUUACCAACCCGAUGCAAACUGCGAAUACCGGAGAAUGUUAUCACGGGAG